AACGAACGCUGGCGGCAUGCCUAACACAUGCAAGUCGAACGAGACCUUCGGGUCUAGUGGCGCACGGGUGCGUAACGCGUGGGAACCUGCCCUUAGGUUCGGAAUAACUCCCCGAAAGGGGUGCUAAUACCGGAUAAUGUCUUCGGACCAAAGAUUUAUCGCCUUUGGAUGGGCCCGCGUUGGAUUAGCUAGUUGGUAGGGUAAAAGCCUACCAAGGCGACGAUCCAUAGCUGGUCUGAGAGGAUGAUCAGCCACACUGGGACUGAGACACGGCCCAGAAUCCUACGGGAGGCAGCAGUGGGGAAUAUUGGACAAUGGGCGAGAGCCUGAUCCAGCAAUGCCGCGUGAGUGAUGAAGGCCUUAGGGUUGUAAAGCUCUUUUACCCGGGAUGAUAAUGACGGUACCGGGAGAAUAAGCUCCGGCUAACUCCGUG
rnacentral:rRNA from 1 species